GAUGGUAUAGCUCAAAUGGUAAGAGCACAUGCUUAGCAUGCAAGAGGUCCUGGGUUCAAGCCCUGAUACCUCCA
rnacentral:tRNA from 1 species